GACGAACGCUGGCGGCGCGCCUAACACAUGCAAGUCGAACGGUGAAGAGGAGCUUGCUCCUCGGAUCAGUGGCGGACGGGUGAGUAACACGUGAGCAACCUGGCUUUAAGAGGGGGACAACAGUUGGAAACGACUGCUAAUACCGCAUAAUGUAUCGGGAUGGCAUCUUCCUGAUACCAAAGAUUUUAUCGCUUAGAGAUGGGCUCACGUCUGAUUAGCUAGUUGGUGAGGUAACGGCUCACCAAGGCUGCGAUCAGUAGCCGGACUGAGAGGUUGACCGGCACAUUGGGACUGAGAUACGGCCCAGACUCCUACGGGAGGCAGCAGUGGGGAAUAUUGGGCAAUGGGGAAACCUGACCCAGCAACGCCGCGUG
rnacentral:rRNA from 1 species